GGCUGCUCCAAGCAGCCCUAAGAAAAGCUUUUUAUGAGGUAAAAAGUGAAGACUUCAAGGGCAGCAGCGGUGGUGAAUGUAUUCUGACAUUCUCUGCUGCAGCUCCAGCUCUCCUCAGCGGCGCUGUACACUCCCGAGCCCUGGUUGCCGGGUACCUACAGCGGAGGCUCCGGUUUACUUCACGUUAGGCACACACGGCUGGGGCUCUCCAGGAUCGCGUGGCCGCGCUUCGGGAGGUGGGGCGGAAUGGGAUUGAAAACCAGCCUGGGAAAUUUCUGGAAGCAGCCCUAAUGGAGGCAGGUACCUCAGGCUCUCUUCCUGCUUCUGUAGCCUAUCUUUCACAUUAUGCAGCAGUGCCGAGUGCUGGCCCUGCCCCCUGAACGAUGUCAUGCAGGGAGCGGGGCUUGUACAGUAGUUCAAGGAAGUGCCGCUCACUCAGUGCUCAGCUCACGGACACGGACUCAGAAGCUGCACAGGCUGGGCUGCAGGGGGCCGUUUCCAAAUGCUGUCCGAUCGAAGCUGAACGAUCAUGGCAACCAGCCCGGAGGAGGGGGAAGGCAGCCCACUGAGGAGGUAGCAGACCGGCUAACCAGGAUAUGGCAUGGUCUCUCAGCCUCCCAAUCAGCCCCUGUUAUUAUUAUAUGUUGAACUCACUUACUGUAUGUUAGUAAACACAUAUCCACAAUACAAUUAGGCUCUCUGUACUAAGGGGGUCAUUCUGAGUUGUUCGCUCGUUGCCGAUUUUCGCUAUGCUGCGAUUUGUUGCUAACUGCGCAUGCGCAUGGUAUGCAGAGCGCAUGCGCUAAGUUAUUUAACACAAAACUUAGUAGAUUUGCUGGUGUUCGAACGACGAUAUUCAGUCGCACUGCUGAUCGGUGAAUGAGUGACAGGAAAGGGGCGUUUCUGGGUGGUAACUGAGCGUUUUCUGGGAGUGUGCUAAAAACCGCAGGCGUGUCAGGAAAAAACGCGGGAGUGUCUGGAGAAACGGGGGAGUGGCUGGCCAAACGCAGGGCGUGUUUGUGACGUCAAACCAGGAACUAAACGGACUGAGCUGAUCGCAAUCUGUGAGUAGGUUUGGAGCUACUUAGAAACUGCAGAAUUAUUUAGUAGCAGUUUUGCUAAUCUUUCGUUUGCAAUUCUGCUAUGCUAAGAUACACUCCCAAAGGGCGGCGGCCUAGCGUGUGCAAUGCUGCUAAAAGCAGCUAGCGAGCGAACAACUCGGAAUAACCCCCUAAAACAACAUUGCCCUUUUGCUUUUAUCAAACAUUUCAAGAAACAUUGAAGAGAAAAUAGAACUUAAGUGUGAAUGUUAUCUUUUUUCCAUGGAAACCUGCAAAAGAAAAAAGCAAGAGAGAUAUGAAAUGUUUUAUGUAGCAGUGAAACAAGAAAUUACCUUUGCUAUCUGUAGUCUAUUACAAGCUAGCUGGAGUGAAAUAGAAGGAUACUUGAAGCAGGCGCACACACUUGCUGAGCUGUCAAACUAAUAGGUUUCUUAUUAUGCUCUCUAUCGUCUUCUGCUUAAAGUACGGAGCUUCGAUAUAAUCUCGCCGGGAGAUACUGACCUACACUAGUGCAGUGCAAAAACAUUGCUCUUGAAAGGUAUGUCUUAGCAUUGGAUAGGGAGGCUUCUUUGACUUGGAGU